AGAGAGAGACAUGCGCGCAUAUCAAUAAGCGGAGGAAAAGAAACUAACUAAGGAUUCCCUCAGUAACGGCGAGUGAAGCGGGAAGAGCUCAAAUUUGAAAUCUUCAAGGUUCUACCUUGACGAAUUGUAGUUUAAAGAAGUGUUUUCUGUUGAAGUUUUGGUAAAAGUUCUUUGGAAUAGGACAUCAUAGAGGGUGAGAAUCCCGUAUUUGACCAUUAUUUUCCAGCUUUGUGAUACACUUUCAAAGAGUCGGAUUGUUUGGGAAUGCAGUCCAAAAUGGGUGGUAAAUUUCAUCUAAAGCUAAAUAUUGGCGAGAGACCGAUAGCGAACAAGUACCGUGAGGGAAAGAUGAAAAGAACUUUGAAAAGAGAGUUAAACAGUACGUGAAAUUGUCAAAAGGGAAGCGUUUGACACCAGUGUUGUUUUCUCGAAAAUCAAUUAAAAAAUGGCUAGAUUUUGUAUUGUUGAUUGACCUUUAAUAAGCUUCACUGCUACAUCUUUUCGUGUCUUUUUUAAUGCACUUUUCGUUUAACAAGUCAACAUCAAGUUUCUUUUGUUGUAAAAGGGUCAUUGGAAGGUGGCUUUCUUUUCGGAGAAAGUGUUUAUAGCCUUUGGCCUCUGCAAUCGGAGAGACUGAGGUCUGCAGCGUAGACUCUUCGGGGUUAGAUACAUUUGUGCUAAGUUAUAGCCUUUCUAUAGACAACUUGUUGACUAUAAUCAGUCAUGUAGCUUACUCGCUUAUGCUAUUUUACCUACGCUUAGGAUGUUGAAGAUGUAGCACAUCAU
rnacentral:rRNA from 1 species